rnacentral:rRNA from 1 species
CCUACGGGAGGCAGCAGUAAGGAAUAUUGGUCAAUGGGCGCAAGCCUGAACCAGCCAUGCCGCGUGCAGGAAGACGGCCCUAUGGGUUGUAAACUGCUUUUGAACAAGAGAAAACCUCGGUACGUGUACCGAGCUGAUAGUAUUGUUAGAAUAAGCAUCGGCUAACUUCGUGCCAGCAGCCGCGGUAAGACGAAGGAUGCAAGCGUUAUCCGGAUUCAUUGGGUUUAAAGGGUGCGUAGGCGGCCUGAUAAGUCAGUGGUGAAAUCUCUCAGCUUAACUGAGAAACUGCCAUUGAUACUGUCGGGCUUGAGUACAGAUGAUGUGGGCGGAAUAUGACAUGUAGUGGUGAAAUACUUAGAUAUGUCAUAGAACACCGAUUGCGAAGGCAGCUCACAAAACUGUAACUGACGCUGAGGCACGAAAGUGCGGGGAUCAAACAGGAUUAGAUACCCUGGUAGUCCGCACCGUAAACGAUGAUUACUCGUUGUUGGCAAUAUGACCGUCAGCGACCAAGCGAAAGCGANAAGUAAUCCACCUGGGGAGUACGCCGGCAACGGUGAAACUUAAAUGAAUUGACGGCUUGAGACGNGCGAGACGACACGAGGGAGGAGG